rnacentral:rRNA from 1 species
UACGUAGGGUGCAAGCGUUAUUCGGAAUUACUGGGCGUAAAGCGCGCGUAGGCGGUUGCGCAAGUCUGGUGUGAAAUCCCAGGGCUUAACCUUGGAAUUGCACUUGUGACUGUGCGGCUGGAGUGCGGCAGAGGGGGAUGGAAUUCCGCGUGUAGCAGUGAAAUGCGUAGAUAUGCGGAGGAACACCGAUGGCGAAGGCAGUCCCCUGGGCCUGCACUGACGCUCAUGCACGAAAGCGUGGGGAGCAAACAGG